rnacentral:tRNA from 1 species
GUAACAGUAGCAAAGAUGGUCUAUGCGCUUGUUUGAAGAACAAGUGAUCUUGGUUCGAUACCAAGCUGUUACA